GAUUGCCCCAGAGGUCCUUCCCAACCAUAGAGUGUCACAAGGAAGAUACAGAGAUGUGGUUAGUCUCUGGAUUUCAAGAUUCAGCAGAGAAGGGAACAGAAAUACAUGAGAUGAGAGUGGAUGUGACACUGGAGAGUGUCUAACUGGCACUUUUAAAUUGAAUUCAUUGAGAGACAGAUAGACAGGAACCAGAAGGAUUGCAAAAAGCAGAAGGACCCUCCUCACUUCACACAAGGACUGGUCUUAAGGACUCAGAAUAUGGGGUGCAGAUUCACUCCCUCCCACACGUACACAAAUAUUUAUGAUUUCAUCCCACCUCUCAAAAAAUCAAAUCCCUCACUGUGCUUCUUGCAAACUGAUUCCUGCUUCCUUAACAGAGCUGAACUUGACCUGCUCAGGAAGAAUCUACACUACUACUCUUUUUUUUUUUAAGUGUACAGAACGAGAAUCAGGGUGGGGCCGUUUUGUGGAAGAUGUACUAUCCAUUUCAAUUCAAGCUUGAAGUUAAAGCCAAGAGAGAAAGACAAGAGGAAAGAGAGAGACUGAUAAAGAAUACAAGUUUCACAAAUUAUCUUUCAGAAUUUAGUGCCAGAGAGGACAGCAUGAUAUUCUACUACCUCAAACAAGUCCCAGCCCUCCAGACUCCAGUAUGUACAGAAUGUGGAUGCCAACCUUCUCAGAGGAAUACACAAGCAUGGCCUCAUCAUCCCAGUUCUCAACAGUUGUAUUGGCUCCCCACUCAUUUCAAGAUGCAGUUCAAAACAGUACUUUAAAAAAUCCAUCAGAAAGGCCAGGUAGAACUGCAGUGGCUGCUUCCUCCCUCCUUAUCCAAUAGAUCAUGGCUUCCUAAAGGUGGUGGAAGAAAGAGGUGAAGAGCAGGCAAAGUCAUAACUCCACCUAUCACCAUUAUGCCAUGUCCAACAAAACUAAGCAACCAUGUUAAAUUACUACAUUGCAUCCCACAAAAGGGCUGUAUGCUGUGAGGUUACUGUCUUUGCUUGUUUGGGAGCUCUGGAAGGGAUUCUUUCUAAGGGAAAAUACCUACUGGUACUCACCUCUUCCUUCCUCAGUGGUUGAGUCAUAAAUAUAUAAUGAGUCCUUACUCAAAGAAAAGCUAGAGUGGGAGUUAUCUCAGUAUGGAUUUAGUAAGGAUCACAGCAUUGAUUAGUUCUUUUGGAUUUCUCUGUACUUAGCAAAUAAAUUAAUAAAUGUGAGGCGCACAAAUGCUUAAACUUGAAAAUAAAAACUUUCAAUAGAGCCGGAACCCUUCAGAACUGUAUCAUCUAGUUCAAAGUUUUGUCUUUAACUUGCCAGCAUGGUUCGAGAUUCAUUUUAUAUUCUGUACAACUGUAAGAUCUACAAGCCAACGUAAAAAUGUACAGGUUUUGUUCGUAUUGUUUAUUGUGCUAUUAUUAGAAAUAGAAACCACAAAAAAGAAGAAAAAAGAACAAUGAAACAAUUUGUGACUAUUUUAGCCAGCUUGCUAAAAAUGUUAGUCCAAUGAUUAAUUAUAACAGCUCAUGUUCAAGACAGCUAUGCAUAUUAGUGACAAUGACCGUGGUAUACAAAGAAUCUGGAAAAAUGUGUCAUAGAGAGGAUGCCUGCAGAAUUAAUAAAUAUGAAUCAUCCUUGGGUGCCUACUCAGAUGUAAUUAGUGGAAUGUAAUUAGCAUCUAAUUAUAACUUCCAGUAUGAAAAAAAUCUUGACUGUUUUGCCAGAUUCUAGUCAAAAUGUGGCAAGAAGUCCACUAAAUCUUUGUUAUGAUUUUUUUAAGCCGAAGAAAACACAUUUUAACCUUUUAAAAAUAUGCCUACAAGCUUGGAUUUUUAACUUGCUGUUGUCUUGGUAUUAAUUAGCAAUCGAUGGGCAACAGCAAGACUAUAAAGUGAUUAGAUAAAUAAACACUAAGAUAAAGGAACAAUCAAAACUUUAACAGUAAAGUAAUUGCAUGAAGACCACACCUUCCCUGGCUCACCUUCUCUAGUACAUGGCACUGUGGAGACAGGCUGCAGCUUUGCAUUACUAAGUGCCUGAGGAAAAUCUUUUAGUUAGUAGGGACUAAGUGAUUUAAUAUAAUAAGUAACAUAAAAUAUGGUAAGAAGAUUAAAAGGAGAAGAAGAGUUAACAAAUUUAAGAUAAAAUAAAUUGUAGAAGUAUAUAUCUUUGUAUGAUUGUAUUUAUUACUUGAACCAUCACUAUGCUGUUGACUUCUAGUAUUGCUAAGGUAUGGUGGGGUGGAGAAGGGAGAAACAUGGAAAGCAGACCAUGAGAUAGGAGAGAAAGUUGAGAGAGGAAAACAAUUGGAGCACAGGAAAUCUGAUAUUGAUGAGGAAGAGAAGGCAGGAGAGAGGAAAAAUUAAACAAUGUUUGGCUUUGAUUAUUUAAAUUCACAUAGAGUAGGGGCGGUCAAACUUACUGACCCUCGAAGUUUCAUACAACAUUGUUCAGAAUUUCGAGAGCUGGGCACGCCUGUUGAGGCUCGGGACUUCACCCUGUUCCCGGCAGGUGGCUCCCAUGGGUCUGAAGCCCUGAGUCCCCCAUCCCCUCAAGUUAGAAGCCCCUACCCCACCACCCUGCCGCAGGACAGAAGCCCUGAGCUCCCACCCACCCCAGUCUGGUAGGUGGAGAAUGGAGGGCUCUGUGAGCCACACUUUAAUUAUAAAAGAGCCGCAUGUGGCUUGCAAGCCAUGGUUUGGCCACCCUGAUGUAGAGGAAUCAUAGAUAAGGCUGCGUUUCUGUCAUGGAGGUCACUGAAGUCACGGAUUCCAUGACUUUCCGUGACCUCUGUGACUUCUGCAGCAGCUGGUAUGGCUGGCUCAGGGGCUGCCUGAGCAGAUUAAGCAGCUCCUGGGACAGGCGCACCGGCCACUGUUGGGGCAGUUUGG